GCGCCCGUAGCUCAGCUGGAUAGAGCAAUAGCCUCCGACGCUAUGUGUCAUGCGUUCGAAUCGCACCGGGCGUACCA
rnacentral:tRNA from 1 species